GACGAACGCUGGCGGCGUGCUUAACACAUGCAAGUCGAACGGAAAGGCCCUGCUUGCAGGGUACUCGAGUGGCGAACGGGUGAGUAACACGUGGGUGAUCUGCCCUGCACUUCGGGAUAAGCCUGGGAAACUGGGUCUAAUACCGGAUAGGAGCCAUUUUUAGUGUGAUGGUUGGAAAGAUUUUUCGGUGUAGGAUGAGCUCGCGGCCUAUCAGCUUGUUGGUGGGGUAAUGGCCUACCAAGGCGGCGACGGGUAGCCGGCCUGAGAGGGUGGACGGCCACAUUGGGACUGAGAGACGGCCCAGACUCCUACGGGAGGCAGCAGUGGGGAAUAUUGCACAAUGGGCGCAAGCCUGAUGCAGCGACGCCGCGUGGGGGAUGACGGCCUUCGGGUUGGAAACUCCUUUCGCUAGGGACGAAGCUUUUUGUGACGGUACCUAGAGAAGAAGCACCGGCUAACUACGUG
rnacentral:rRNA from 1 species